GGUGCCUUGGCGCAAUGGUAGCGUGUUUGGCUUCGACUGCCUCAAAAUAUCCACCAAAAGGCUGCAGGUUCGAGUCCUGCAGGCAUCA